UUAAGCGACUAAGCGUACACGGUGGAUGCCCUGGCAGUCAGAGGCGAUGAAGGACGUGCUAAUCUGCGAUAAGCGUCGGUAAGGUGAUAUGAACCGUUAUAACCGGCGAUUUCCGAAUGGGGAAACCCAGUGUGAUUCGUCACACUAUCAUUACGUGAAUACAUAGCGUAAUGAAGCGAACCGGGGGAACUGAAACAUCUAAGUACCCCGAGGAAAAGAAAUCAACCGAGAUUCCCCCAGUAGCGGCGAGCGAACGGGGAGCAGCCCAGAGUCUGAAUCAGCUUGUGUGUUAGUGGAACGGUCUGGAAAGUCCGACGGUACAGGGUGAUAGUCCCGUACACCAAAAUGCACAGGUUGUGAACUCGAAGAGUAGGGCGGGACACGUGGUAUCCUGUCUGAAUAUGGGGGGACCAUCCUCCAAGGCUAAAUACUCCUGACUGACCGAUAGUGAACCAGUACCGUGAGGGAAAGGCGAAAAGAACCCCGGCGAGGGGAGUGAAAAAGAACCUGAAACCGUGUACGUACAAGCAGUGGGAGCCUCUUUGUUGGGUGACUGCGUACCUUUUGUAUAAUGGGUCAGCGACUUAUAUUCUGUAGCAAGGUUAACCGUAUAGGGGAGCCGAAGGGAAACCGAGUCUUAACUGGGCGUUAAGUUGCAGGGUAUAGACCCGAAACCCGGUGAUCUAGCCAUGGGCAGGUUGAAGGUUGGGUAACACUAACUGGAGGACCGAACCGACUAAUGUUGAAAAAUUAGCGGAUGACUUGUGGCUGGGGGUGAAAGGCCAAUCAAACCGGGAGAUAGCUGGUUCUCCCCGAAAGCUAUUUAGGUAGCGCCUCGUGAAUUCAUCUUCGGGGGUAGAGCACUGUUUCGGCUAGGGGGUCAUCCCGACUUACCAACCCGAUGCAAACUGCGAAUACCGAAGAAUGUUAUCACGGGAGACACACGGCGGGUGCUAACGUCCGUCGUGAAGAGGGAAACAACCCAGACCGCCAGCUAAGGUCCCAAAGUCAUGGUUAAGUGGGAAACGAUGUGGGAAGGCACAGACAGCCAGGAUGUUGGCUUAGAAGCAGCCAUCAUUUAAAGAAAGCGUAAUAGCUCACUGGUCGAGUCGGCCUGCGCGGAAGAUGUAACGGGGCUAAACCAUGCACCGAAGCUGCGGCAGCGACACUAUGUGUUGUUGGGUAGGGGAGCGUUCUGUAAGCCGUUGAAGGUGUAUCGUGAGGUAUGCUGGAGGUAUCAGAAGUGCGAAUGCUGACAUAAGUAACGAUAAUGCGGGUGAAAAACCCGCACGCCGGAAGACCAAGGGUUCCUGUCCAACGUUAAUCGGGGCAGGGUGAGUCGACCCCUAAGGCGAGGCCGAAAGGCGUAGUCGAUGGGAAACAGGUUAAUAUUCCUGUACUUGGUGUUACUGCGAAGGGGGGACGGAGAAGGCUAUGUUAGCCGGGCGACGGUUGUCCCGGUUUAAGCAUGUAGGCGGAGGUUCCAGGUAAAUCCGGUACCUUUUAACGCUGAGGUGUGAUGACGAGGCACUACGGUGCUGAAGUAACAAAUGCCCUGCUUCCAGGAAAAGCCUCUAAGCAUCAGGUAACACGAAAUCGUACCCCAAACCGACACAGGUGGUCAGGUAGAGAAUACCAAGGCGCUUGAGAGAACUCGGGUGAAGGAACUAGGCAAAAUGGUGCCGUAACUUCGGGAGAAGGCACGCUGAUAUGUAGGUGAAGUGAUUUACUCAUGGAGCUGAAAUCAGUCGAAGAUACCAGCUGGCUGCAACUGUUUAUUAAAAACACAGCACUGUGCAAACACGAAAGUGGACGUAUACGGUGUGACGCCUGCCCGGUGCCGGAAGGUUAAUUGAUGGGGUUAUCCGUAAGGAGAAGCUCUUGAUCGAAGCCCCGGUAAACGGCGGCCGUAACUAUAACGGUCCUAAGGUAGCGAAAUUCCUUGUCGGGUAAGUUCCGACCUGCACGAAUGGCGUAAUGAUGGCCAGGCUGUCUCCACCCGAGACUCAGUGAAAUUGAACUCGCUGUGAAGAUGCAGUGUACCCGCGGCAAGACGGAAAGACCCCGUGAACCUUUACUAUAGCUUGACACUGAACACUGGUCCUUGAUGUGUAGGAUAGGUGGGAGGCUUUGAAGUGUGGACGCCAGUCUGCAUGGAGCCAUCCUUGAAAUACCACCCUUUAAUGGCUGGUGUUCUAACGUGGACCCGUUACCCGGGUUGCGGACAGUGUCUGGUGGGUAGUUUGACUGGGGCGGUCUCCUCCUAAAGAGUAACGGAGGAGCACGAAGGUUAGCUAAUCCUGGUCGGACAUCAGGAGGUUAGUGCAAAGGCAUAAGCUAGCUUGACUGCGAGAGUGACGGCUCGAGCAGGUGCGAAAGCAGGUCUUAGUGAUCCGGUGGUUCUGAAUGGAAGGGCCAUCGCUCAACGGAUAAAAGGUACUCCGGGGAUAACAGGCUGAUACCGCCCAAGAGUUCAUAUCGACGGCGGUGUUUGGCACCUCGAUGUCGGCUCAUCACAUCCUGGGGCUGAAGUAGGUCCCAAGGGUAUGGCUGUUCGCCAUUUAAAGUGGUACGCGAGCUGGGUUUAGAACGUCGUGAGACAGUUCGGUCCCUAUCUGCCGUGGGCGCUGGAGAAUUGAGGGGGGCUGCUCCUAGUACGAGAGGACCGGAGUGGACGCAUCACUGGUGUUCGGGUUGUCAUGCCAAUGGCAUUGCCCGGUAGCUAAAUGCGGAAGAGAUAAGUGCUGAAAGCAUCUAAGCACGAAACUUGCCCCGAGAUGAGUUCUCCCUGAGACUUUAAGUCUCCUGAAGGAACGUUGAAGACGACGACGUUGAUAGGUCGGGUGUGUAAGUGUAGCGAUACAUUGAGCUAACCGAUACUAAUGAACCGUGAGGCUUAACCUU
rnacentral:rRNA from 1 species